CAAUAGCGUAUAUUAACGUUGUUGCAGUUAAAAAGCUCGUAGUUGGAUUUCUGGAGGGAGCGUCGGCCCGUAUGUACGAGUGCGUGACGUCUCUGUCCAUCCUUGCGGGAAGGCACGGCAUUGAUUUGUUGUGUCGGAUCGCAUCAUUUACUGUGAAAAAAUUAGAGUGUUCAAAGCAGGCUUUCGCUUGAAUACAUUAGCAUGGAAUAAUAAGAUAGGACUUUGGUGCUAUUUUGUUGGUUGAGCCUAAAGUAAUGAUUAAUAGGGAUAGUUGGGGGCACCUGUAUUGCGUUGUCAGAGGUGAAAUUCUUGGAUUUACGCAAGACAAACAGCUGCGAAAGCGUCUGCCAAGGAUGUUUUCAUUAA
rnacentral:rRNA from 1 species